GUGGCCGGCUGAGCCCGCUGGGGCUGUGUGUGUGUGUGUUUGUGUACAUGGAGGGUGUGUAGCUGUGCACUUUGUUUGUGACGCCAGGAUGAACGGUGAACUGAGAGCCGGUCGUACCACGACAGCCAAGAGAGGAAGCAGCGCCAUUGACAGCUAAAGCCAAACUGUCCUCCAAAUCCCACCGCCGCACGCCGCUGGACGGAUUAAAGCCGGGACGAACACGACUCAGCGUCGGCCAGAGUUGGGAUUUACAGCCAGGCAGCCGCACAGCCAACCCCCAGAGAGGCUGUGAGGAUCUGUGGAGGGAGCCAGUGGGAACAGUUCACUGUGCGUGAACCCUCGUUGCUCAGGAUUUCACAUAAUUCACUUACCACAGCUGCAAAAGACGGCGGGCUUAAAUAAGCUUUACUUCUUAAACCUCUACCAUCAUGAGAAACUAAGGUGAAGAGUCAGAGCUCAGACCAAACAUCCAGAGAAGGUUUGUGGAUGCUAGAAUUAAAAAUACGUCCACAAACACAGAAAAAUGGACAAAGCUGGUCCCCACUUUGGCUUUUUGAUAUCAUUUGACCUCGAGAAAUCUCCCACCAAAUUAAGUUUGAUUUUUCUUUCAAAUGUGCUACAUUUUUGUAUUUUUUCAGCCUUUUGGCUGAAAAAAUGCCUGCUUUGUGCCUGCUUUGUGUUUUCCUGUACGCACACUUUUAUUCGUCACUGUGUGUUUUCUGCGGCAUUUUUCCGUCUGAACACCCCAGCCUGUCGUCCAGAUGGGUUCGGCCUCCUUCUCCGUGUCCUAAUCAAAACUAACGACACCAAACCUGCUUUGAGCAGCAGAGCUCUCGCCUGAGGUACAAACACACAGCAGCUCAUUGUAGCUACAACAUUUAUCACUGACAGAAGUAUUCACAGGUAGCAAGCCAAGAAAGUUCACGUGAUGAUGCAAAAACCGGCAGCGUGUCGACCUGAGUUCAGUAAUGUUUACUCAUCAGAGGAAAAUAGUAGUUUGGCGAGUCUGUCACAGCUGCUGCGGAAGCCCCAAACUUCCUGAGAAUCAUUUCUGUGAGACCAAAAUCAAAAACGUGGUGUAAUUUCAGGGGGUCUUGGAGGGGUUUUACAAGGAGUCUUAAUGGGAACCAUGUGCACAACUGUCUCAUUAGCUUGCAGUGCCUAAAAACAGCAUUCCCAUUUGCAUAGGUAUACUGUAGGGGAGAGCAGGGGUCGACUGUCACACGUCUCACACUUUGCUUGAAAUUUCAGAGACUACUUGAAAUGAAUGAAUCAUUUUUUAAAAGAAGAUCUGCACUCACUGGGCACUUUAUUAGGUACACCUUGAUUUUACUGUGUUGUGUUACGAUGGACAUGGUCAGUAACAAAACUUAGGUAGGCUGAAAAUAUCCCCACCACCAAUACACAGCCAGCAGCACCUGAACCACUGAUGCAUAGCAGGACAGAUCCAUGGUGUCAUGUUGUUUACAUAAAUAAUAAACUAAUCAGACCAGACAAUACUUUUUUUACACUCAAGUUUUUGCAAGACAAAAGCACUGCGGGUACUGCACGUUUCAAAGUUCAAAGUUGAGUCAAAUGAAACAAAAAUGCAGCAUUCAGGCUGAAAGUAAAAAUCCAAGCAAAGUGCAAAACACAAACGUCUCAGUGGAAGGCAAACAAUGUUUUCCAGGCUGUUAACCCUCCAAAUUACACUGUCGCUUUGCACAUCUCUGAAAUGGGAACGUCAUCUCGCAGCGGCCAAUUUUGGAGUGCAUCAGAGCACCGACCCCAGUGCAGGAAGCAUCCCGAGAAAAGAAAUUUCAUUAGCAGAU
ensembl:lncRNA